GUCCUACGGGGGGCAGCAGUCGGGAAUAUUGCGCAAUGGAGGAAACUCUGACGCAGUGACGCCGCGUGCAGGAAGAAGGUUUUCGGAUUGUAAACUGCUUUAGACAGGGAAGAUAAAAGACAGUACCUGUAGAAUAAGCUCCGGCUAACUACGUGCCAGCAGCCGCGGUAAUACAUAGGGAGCAAGCGUUAUCCGGAAUUAUUGGGUGUAAAGGGUGCGUAGACGGGAAAUUAAGUUAGUUGUGAAAUCCCUUGGCUUAACUGAGGAACUGCAACUAAAACUGAUUUUCUUGAGUACUGGAGAGG
rnacentral:rRNA from 1 species